rnacentral:rRNA from 1 species
UACGAAGGGUGCAAGCGUUACUCGGAAUUACUGGGCGUAAAGCGUGCGUAGGUGGUUCGUUAAGUCUGAUGUGAAAGCCCUGGGCUCAACCUGGGAAUGGCAUUGGAAACUGGCGACCUAGAGUGCGGUAGAGGGUAGUGGAAUUCCCGGUGUAGCAGUGAAAUGCGUAGAGAUCGGGAGGAACAUCCGUGGCGAAGGCGGCGCGCUGGACCACUACUGACGCUGAGGAACGAAAGCUAGGGGAGCAAACAGG